AACGAACGCUGGCGGCGUGCCUGAGACAUGCAAGUCGUGGGAGAAAGUCGGAGCAAUCCGGCUAGUAAACCGGCGCACGGGUGAGUAACACGUGGACAACCUGCCUUGGAGUUCGGGAUAACCCGUCGAAAGACGGACUAAUACCGGAUAUGACCACGGGGAGUUCGCUCUCUGAGGUAAAAGAUGGCCUCUGCUCCUGCAAGCUAUCUCUUCGAGAGGGGGUCCNCGUCCUACAGCUAGUUGGUGAGGUAACGGCUCACCAAGGCUAAGACGGGUAGCUGGUCUGAGAGGAUGGUCAGCCACACUGGGACUGAGACACGGCCCAGAGUCCUACGGGAUGCAGCAGUCAGGAAUAUUGCGCAAUGGA
rnacentral:rRNA from 1 species